ACUGCUCAGUAACACGUGGAUAACCUGCCCUUGGGACCGGCAUAACCCCGGGAAACUGGGGAUAAUUCCGGAUAACGCACAUAUGCUGGAAUGCUUUAUGCGUGAAAUGGAUUCGUCUGCCCAAGGAUGGGUCUGCGGCCUAUCAGGUAGUAGUGGGUGUAAUGGACCUACUAGCCUACAACGGGUACGGGUUGUGAGAGCAAGAGCCCGGAGAUGGAUUCUGAGACAUGAACCCAGGCCCUACGGGGCGCAGCAGGCGCGAAAACUUUACAAUGCGGGAAACCGUGAUAAGGGGACACCGAGUGCCAGCAUCAUAUGCUGGCUGUCCAGGUGUGUAAAAUACACCUGUUAGCAAGGGCCGGGCAAGACCGGUGCCAGCCGCCGCGGUAACACCGGCGGCCCGAGUGGUGAUCGUGAUUAUUGGGUCUAAAGGGUCCGUAGCCGGUUUGGUCAGUCCUCCGGGAAAUCUGACAGCUCAACUGUUAGGCUUUCGGGGGAUACUGCCAGACUUGGAACCGGGAGAGGUAAGAGGUACUACAGGGGUAGGAGUGAAAUCUUGUAAUCCCUGUGGGACCACCUGUGGCGAAGGCGUCUUACCAGAACGGGUUCGACGGUGAGGGACGAAAGCUGGGGGCACGAACCGGAUUAGAUACCCGGGUAGUCCCAGCCGUAAACGAUGCUCGCUAGGUGUCAGGCAUGGCGCGACCGUGUCUGGUGCCGCAGGGAAGCCGUGAAGCGAGCCACCUGGGAAGUACGGCCGCAAGGCUGAAACUUAAAGGAAUUGGCGGGGGAGCAC
rnacentral:rRNA from 1 species